CUGUGGGGAGGAUGGGGUUCUGUGGGGGGAAUGGGGUGCAGUGGGGGUGGGGUUCUGGCAGUGAGGGAUGCUGUGGAGGCAUGUAGAGAAGUGGGGGUGCUGUGGGGAGGAUGGGGUUCUGUGGGAGGAAUGGGGUGCAGUGGGGGUGGGGUUCUGGCAGUGGGGAGUGCUGCAGAGGCAUAUAGAAAAGUGGGGGUGCUGUGGGGAGGAUGGGGUUCUGUGGGAGGAAUGGGUGAGGGUGGGGUUCUGGCAUUGGGGGGUGCUGCAGAGGUGUGUAGAGAAUGGGGGUGCUGUGGGGAGGAUGGAGUUCUGUGGGAGGAAUGGGGUGCAGUGGGGGUGUGGUUCUGGCAGCGAGGGAUGCUGUGGAGGUGUGUAGAGAAGUGGGGGUGCUGUGGGGAGGAUGGGGUUCUGUGGGAGUAAUGGGGUGCAGUGGGGGUGGGGUUCUGGCAGUGGGAGGUGCUGCGGGAGCAUGUAGAAAAGUGGGGGUGCU